GGGGUGUCACUUCAACGCCCUGAACCUCAAGUGGCUCACCGGGAGACUAGGGCUUGAGAGGACAGAGCUAACAGGGUUAUUGUGUGGAAUAAAUGAGAUAUGCCAUGAGAAGUGCUGACACGGUGCUAACCAGUGCAAUGUGCUGCUGGAGGACUGGAGAUUUGGAGACAUCUUCUCACUUUUCCUCCCUCAUGGGGAAGCACAGGACUCAGCCCUCACAGACGCUUUGUCCGUGAACUGUCGUAUGUUCUUUCUGUCAAGAUGUUGGAGAUGUCAUCCACUGUCAAGAUCUGAAGUCUAGUCAGAACAGAUUUUGCAGCGGGCUGGGAGGAGUGCUCCAUGCCCACUCUGACUUCUAGGAAGGUGCUGGUGGGACUCAACAAAAUAUACCCAGGUGUCUUUGUGUGCAGGUCUAUUUCUGUAUUUAGCCUAGUUGCAGGAAUAAAGAAGAAAAAUCUCUGGCUAUCGGGCUUCCAUUCCACUCAGAAAAUCAGACAGUGACUCUAGACCUCAUGAGCAGGAAGGGUUCAGAGGGAAAUGACAUCCUCAUGUCACCCCGUAGGUGUGAAAGAAACUUCUGUGUCUUGGACGGGGAAAGAAGAGACUUGACACAAGUGAAAAUUGAAAUAUCCUGCUUCCGGGGCGCCUGGCUGGAACGCUGCACAGCAGACACCUUUCCCAUC
rnacentral:lncRNA from 1 species